rnacentral:tRNA from 1 species
AGGGGUAUAGUUUAAUGGUAGAACAGUGGUCUUCAAAAUCACAUGCGUGGGUUCGAUUCCUGCUAUCCUUG